GUCGACGAUGAAUCUUCUAGCUUGCUAGAAGUGGAUUAGUGGCGCACGGGUGAGUAAUGCAUAGGUUAUGUGCCCUUUAGUCUGGGAUAGCCACUGGAAACGGUGAUUAAUACUGGAUACUCCCUACGGGGGAAAGUUUUUCGCUAAAGGAUCAGCCUAUGUCCUAUCAGCUUGUUGGUGAGGUAAUGGCUCACCAAGGCUAUGACGGGUAUCCGGCCUGAGAGGGUGAUCGGACACACUGGAACUGAGACACGGUCCAGACUCCUACGGGAGGCAGCAGUAGGGAAUAUUGCUCAAUGGGGGAAACCCUGAAGCAGCAACGCCGCGUGGAGGAUGAAGGUUUUAGGAUUGUAAACUCCUUUUGUUAGAGAAGAUUAUGACGGUAUCUAACGAAUAAGCACCGGCUAACUCCGUGCCAGCAGCCGCGGUAAUACGGAGGAUGCAAGCGUUACUCGGAAUCACUGGGCGUAAAGGGUGCGUAGGCGGGGUAAUAAGUCAGAUGUGAAAUCCUGUAGCUUAACUACAGAACUGCAUUUGAAACUGUUACUCUGGAGUGUGGGAGAGGUAGGUGGAAUUCUUGGUGUAGGGGUAAAAUCCGUAGAGAUCAAGAGGAAUACUCAUUGCGAAGGCGACCUGCUGGAACAUUACUGACGCUGAUGCACGAAAGCGUGGGGAGCAAACAGGAUUAGAUACCCUGGUAGUCCACGCCCUAAACGAUGGAUGCUAGUUGUUGCCUUGCUUGUCAGGGCAGUAAUGCAGCUAACGCAUUAAGCAUCCCGCCUGGGGAGUACGGUCGCAAGAUUAAAACUCAAAGGAAUAGACGGGGACCCGCACAAGCGGUGGAGCAUGUGGUUUAAU
rnacentral:rRNA from 1 species